AUCAUGAACGCCAUGACAACAACAACAAAAACAGCUGAUCCGCUUCUGCAAAUGUCACAACAUCAGGAAGCGAUCCGUCUCAGCCUCCGUCUGCUGAGACUCAAGGUGAAGGCGCAGUCACACACACAACGUCUGCCUCAGUAACAGUUAACACCUGCUGAGAAACUGGGAAGUAACUGUUUCGCACAGAAGAUAAAAGACAAAGAAUCACCCGGCGUUAAGAGAGAAAUAGACACUGUAAUAUAAUGCUCAUAAACAUAAAGCAUACUCAUAAACAAUAGGAAUGUUUAAUUAAAGUAUAAAUCUCCAUGACUGAAAUCAAGACGCCCAACUGGAAAACUAUCCAGAGUAAUGUUACUGCAUGUUUUAAAGGACAUCAAGGCAUUGUGUUUGUCAAACACAAACAUCACUCAGUCACAUUAAAACCUCUGCUGAAGUAUUUAAUGUGACCAAAUGAAUUCAUACACAGUCAAUGAGUCCAUCCUCAUCCUCCCUAAUGCAGAAGAAGACCCAUGCAUUUAUCCAAGGUUCGAUGUUGCUGUCUGGUGAAAACUCGUACUUAAAGAAGUCUGAUUCAUGAAUCAACAGAAUGAUUUACAGGCUGACAGGUGAAGAUGUCACACAGGUACGGAAAGCUAUCCUCCAUCAGGUGCUUAUUACAUGUUUAUGAACAACAUCUGGCCUCAGAUGAACACAGACAGUUUCAGAAUUUUGCUUUUGUGUGAAAUGAAACUGGUUUUCAGAGAAUUUCAGUCGAGCGGGUCCAAUUUCAAGUAACUAUUUCAUGUUUUAAUGGAGUCUUCUUUUUUCCUUUUUCUUUUAUUUGGCUCAUUGCCUACAAAAAAAGCUUCACACAUUUUAUCACAACAAGUGACAGAAAACCAUAAAAGAUAAGCAAAGAGGGAAACAACUGCAAAAACACACAGAGAUGGAGGCAAACCGAGGUGGCCAAACAGUUUUUAAAAUAGUAGAGGAAGGAAGAGGCUGACAGGAUGGAUGAGGAAAGACUGUGUUUGACUGUUUAUCUGUUGUUCUAUUUUAUAUAAACCAGUUCACACUGAAUAUGACCAACGGACAGACUCUUUUUGACCUGGUAGAGCGUCUGCAUCUAAUGACAUCUAAUAAUAAAUAAGUAAAUACCUACACACAAGGAAAAAGAGGAAGAAAGAGGCCACCCAUGCUCCUGACUCAUGCUGAAAUGUUUGACAGACAGCACGGGCGGCCUCCGCAGAAGAAAAGGAGAAAGAAAAAAUCAGCCUGGAGGCAGCAAAGACGUGUAAGAACUCCAGUCGUACACUCCCAGUGUGAUUGUAGGAAUCUCUCCCAGCAGCUCUCACUCUUCAUGUGGAAGCGAAAUGUGAGAUUCUAAUAUUUCAGGAAACAUUUGGAAAGAAAAACAGACACAAAUAUACAAAUUCUAUGUUUUAUUUCUAUCUUGUAACAGAGACAAUUUGUGAUUUGAUUUGAAAACAAAUGAAAUACAAAUAAAAAAUACAGAUAGUUUCUGUUGUUUCCUUUUCUUAAUUGUAAUAAUCUAAUCAUUUCAUAUCUACCCAGCGACAAUGCAUGGUGCAAAACAUCCCUGAUUGAUUAAAAAAAUCCUACACUAAUAAGCUUGCGGUAUCUAGCGCUAAAAUUGGUCGGUAAAAACAAAAGAAGAACAAAAAAAGAGUUGAACUAAAGAUCAGAUUCUUAGAGGUAAGAACGACAGUAAACAGAGGAACGUUUAAAAAAAAUGUCCGAAGCAGAGGUUUGUACAGCUGUGGAAAUGGGAAUGAAAGUUUCAGCACUAUAUUAUCUCUUACAGAAGCCUCUUAAUUGUUUUGCAUUGCUGAAGACACACUCUCCAUUGGAGAUGGCCUCCACAACAUCAGAGCUCUCAAGCCUUGUAUUAAAUUUUUAUUAUGCUAUUAGACUUUAAUACCAUAAAUGUCUCUAUGUUUUCAGAUCUCUUUCUACAACAUGACAAGUGUACGCACAGAAGGCAGGUCUGUGUCAUUUACAAAUCAAAAGAAAUGUCCUUCAAAGCACCAGAUCUGAACAUUGUUCCCCCACGGGCUCACCACUAUGUCUACAUUAGAAACUCAUCUCAGUUUAGCCACCUUUAAAACUUAAAACAGAAACUGCAAGACUUGUAAAUAUCCUGUAAUAAUGAUGUUUAUAGAUGUAUUCUCCUCAGUAUAUGAAUAUAAAUAUGAUUUCCUCAAACCAUUUGUUUUAAUUUAAAUUUCACUUCCUGAGUUGAUCUUACUGGAUGUGAAUUGAAACAUGAGCACACAACGAGGUCCAAUGUUUUGUUUUUGUUUUUUCCACCUGCCUGCUCCGACACAAUGCAGUUAUAUGAGUCGCAUUGUAUGAGAUUGUUAGAAAGCCAAGCAGGAUUCUGAAUAAAGCUUACUUACAUUGAUUUGAUUUUGAUUUUUUUUAAAAACAAAACAUCUUUUUAUUAUUCUGAGGUACUGAGUUGAAAACCUCUUGCUGUCAAAGUGGAAGGAGAAAAGGCGGCAGGGCCGGAUGACGGCUGAAUUCCAUCUUCCCCCACCCUCUGCUUAAGUACGUGCGUAUGCACUACACUCAGCUUGGACCAAUAUUUACUGUCUUUGCAAUCUGGAGAGCUGUUUGUCACGUGUGUUCAUACUUGGACAGAGGGCUGAAGAAUGAGGACAGACAGCAGACAAAUAAAACCAGACACACCAAUUAUGUAACGGAGGAAGAGUGUGUUUGGAUUAUUAGAAAUGGGCAGUGAGAUACCCUGAAACUCUGUACAAAGAAAUGUUUUUCACCAGCUGCAACAGCCGGAGGACACCCUGUAUGCCAACUGAACUUAACACAGACAAAAAGGAAUGAAAAAUGUCCCGUCCGUGACAUUAAGUGGUGAUAUAGAUUGUUCCUUUUUUCAAAGCCUGUGUAUGAACAAGCAAAAGGUGUGGUGAAUGUGUUGUUUGAGGGUUCACAGUUGUCACAAGAUCCACUUUGAUCAUUUCUAAUAUAUACUGUGUGGAAACACUCUCUAUGGCUCUUUAUGCUUAUUUCAACAGCAAGCAGGAUGACAGAAAAGUUAGAACACACUCGCCGCAACUGAGAACGACUGCCGUCACAAGCACUUCCGUAUUCUUGCCAAUAUAAUUUACAUAGCACAAUCUAAGAAGCACACAAAAUUAUUUAUUAAUUGCUAUACACUUAGGAAUUACCUGAUGUUGCAACCAAAACUUCAAGCUACGUUAAUUGGGAAUCUGCUGUAUAUGAUUAUCUCGAGUAUAUUAUGUCUGUCUCGACAGUAAAAUGAGGAUUUGUGCUCAGGUUCCUCACCAAGCUUAAAGGACUGUCUGCUAAUGUCAGAAAUCGAUUUGUUAGUCAGUGCAAUCUGAACGUUUCGACUAAAAUAAACCGACUCUUUGUUUUUAUGAGGGUUGAUUUGGAAAGAUAAGAGCAAGAAUUCAUCAGGCUCAUCUCUCUCCACAACAAACUAAAUAUAAUAAAACAUUCAAACAACUUUCUUAUCAGAGCGACUCGAGUAAGCAGUGAUAAAGUUCAAAUCAGAUAAAUAGUGGUAUCUACUCAUGGAACAUACCAACUGCACAUGGUGAUAGUGCGUUAUGUGGGUAUGGAGCAACAGAAGCAGAGACAGAUCAAUUCAUUUCCUGCUCACAAACUUGCUUAACCACUUCAUAAUCCUUCAACAAUCAUUAGAAAAAACAUUUUGCACUGAAGAGAUCUCCAAUCAAAUCUUUUUUUUUGUGAUUAAAAAAAAAGGGCAACAUCUGGUACUGAGAGCAGCUUUGGGCCGUCCAUGAAUUCACACUAAAUAUUAUCUUUGGCUAAAUCACACUGAAGCAACAUGUGAAAUGCCACUUUGUUUUAACAAAGUGUAAGCUGGAGCUUUAUCUCUUCAAGCUGCUGCAUCGUCAGUUCAAGGUUCCACACUCAAAAGGCGAAAAAGCAGCCGGCGUGCACGGCGAAGCUGCUGACGGACAUGACAAAGCAAUGGCAAACACAAAGUGAUAAGCGCGAUGGCAUGAGUCAAAUAAAACUUUUAUUCAUCUUCAGCUUCCAUUGAACUAAAAACAAAAAAACGAGAAAAAGAAAAUAAAAUAAAAAUCAAAUGUCAGUUUCAUGUAUCUACAAAAAGAAAAGAAAGAAAAAAAAAGAAAAACUAUUUCACAUCCAUGACCGUGUUCUCAAUCGUUUUUAAAAGGGAAGAGGAAAAAAAUGUUAUUAUCUCAUCAUGAAUCCAUUUCAUUCAAGGAUUCAUCUGCACAUACAUCCACCUGUGCACCCUGUGUGUGUGUGUGUGUGUGUGUGUGUGUGUGUGUGUGUGUGGUAUGUGCCAUUACCGCUUGACCGUGCAACUUCCUCCCACCCCCUCCCCAACCCAUUACACAGAUAUACACAGACUUCUGAAACAGGAUGUACAAAAGCUUGUGUUUAGCAUUAAACAGUGCAGAGCCUUAACGUAAACAAGCUAAGGCUCCUCUUUCUCUCUCCCACUUCCUGUACCCAGGUUUGAAAUUACAUCAUGGAUGGGUAGAGUAUCCCAUCUUUACAUAAAGACAGGGAAACAGAACAGACGAUACAGGAGGAAAGAAAAAAAUAGAAACAUACAUACACAACACAGCGAUUCCCUCUGCAUCAUUCUCACUGCUGUUUUUUUCUUUAUACACACACA